GUGGGGGGCGAGGGAGUAUCUGGAAGCUGGGUAACGGCCCUGGGCUCGCACGUGGAGGUGGAGUGCGGACGCUCCCCAAAGCUAGAGGACGCUGAAGGAACUGGAUACCCAAAGCCUCUCAUCUCCUUCCUGCACUGAAAUGAAAGGUAAAUAUCAGUGGUUCUCAAAGUGUGGUUCCUGGACCACAGCACUGCCAUCCCCUGGGAACUUUUAGCAAUGCAGAUGCUCAAGCCCCACCUCAGACCUACUGAAGCUGAAACUCUGGAGCUGGACCAGUGAUUUAACAAACCCUCCAGGUGGGCAGCAAAUGGUGACAGCUGUACCAGGCAUCACAUCCAAAUGCCACGUCAUCCAGAGGCAGCAGAUAGGGGCUGUCUCUCCUACAGUCUACUUCUCAGAGAUAACUGAAAGCUCACCUCACAGAUGCCACAAAAACCCAAACAUUUUAAUCGUGUAAGGGAAAUAUUUCUAAAAUAGAUUAUAUUCUCCCCAGAAAUGGUGAACAGAGCAUAUAGUCAUAUAGUGGCUUUUGGUGGUCCGGGAAGCAGAGCCCAGAUUUCCUUUGGAACCAUCCUUCUCACACACCCUCAGUCCAGGCUCCAGGAGAAGAGCAUGAGACCCAGGCUGAAGGCCAUCAGGGUGUCUUGUUUCUCCUGGCUACAGGUCCGGGUCUCUAGUGCAUGGGCUUUGCGACAACUAUUCCCUUUGCUUUGAGCCCUUUCUGGCUCUCACGCACUCAGAUAUGUUUUGAAUAGAUACAAUUACUGCAAGUCGGGCCCCCAUAUAAGCAGAGAAUACAGAAACGAAUUUAUUAUUUCUUUUAGUAUCCUUCAAAUUCACUUUGGAGUUUGAAUAUUUUCAAAAGAUUUGUAAAACUGUGGCUAUGCCAUGACCUGAAAACACACUGUGGAAAAAGAGCUCAGGAAAGUAAUCUAAAAUAAUCCACACCAAGUUUCCAUCUCAUUUCUUGAAAUAUUUUGUGCACAGUCCUAUCCUACCUUGGUACCCUAGACAUAGCAAUAUUGACAUACCCACAGUGGCACAAUAAAAAAAAAAACCAAAAACCAAAAAACAUCAUACCAUUUAUCCCGCAAACAGCUUUCAUGAGACUCACAUCAUUAUACACCUUUAAGAAAAAAAACUGUGUAUUGUGGAAAAUUUUAUACAAAACCCUGUGUACCUGACUCAGUUGUGAAACUCCCCCAGGCCUAAUGGUUUAGAAUCGUGGGUGAAAUUAAGCUCACUAAUGGAUCAAGUUCCUGUACUUGGUUCGUUGCUGAGCUAGUGAAGGGAGGUGGGAUGCUGUCAGAAGCCACCACAUCAAGAUGUGACAAGGAGAGAGGAAACAGCCAAAUCGCUCCCAGCUGUAGAGACGUUAAGUGUGGGGAAGACAGCCCUGUAAGCCUCACUAGGCCCUGUUCUGAGGGCCUCGUUAUUAUUCCCCAGAGUGACAACUGAGGUUCACACUUGGUGUUAUUAAGAAAAGUCUACAAUUACGGCCACAUGGCUUUUUUCCAAGGCAGGAUGUGUGCAGUACACUUCAGAAAGCUUGACAUCAACGAAUGGUUAGGUGUGGACACUUAAAGUAGCAAAUUUGAAUUACCUGGGAAGAUCCUUUGUGCGGAUUCCUCAAUUCCAAUUAAUGGGAUGGAAAGAUUUUAAAGACAGAGGAGAGCAAGCAUUCAGUUCCAGUUGUGUUAUUAACUAGCUAUGUGGUCUCGGAGCUCAGUUUCCUUAUCUUUAAACUACACUGCCUGGUAUGGUGGCCACUUGCUAUACAUGGCUAUUUAAAUUUAAAUUAAAAGUAAAUAAGGUUAACAAUUCGGUUCCCCACACACAUGUCAAGCACUUGACAGUUCACAUGUGGUGAGUGGCUAUCACAUCUGAGCAUGCAGAUACAGAACAUGUCCGCCAUCCACAGAAGCUCUACUGGUCUUGCCUGAUCUAGAUCCUAAGGAGAAAAUAUGUUUCAUCUCUUAUGCCACUGCCUGUUGAUUGAUAAUAGUAAUAGAAAAGAUCUCUGACUUUUCUGCUCAGGCUGUGAGCCAUCCCUGCCCUCUCUGAGAACUGCUCGCCAUUCCACAGGAGCGGGCACUGCAUAGCCAUUUUGAACGCUGUCCCUACUUUUUAGAUGAGGGCUGACGGGGUCAGGGGUAGUCACCUGAUCUAAGCACAGUCAGUCAGAGCUUCUCCCUAGGGAAUCUGAUGCUGAGAUUCAGAUACAGUCGCUGUAGGAGGUUAUAAUUGGAAUAAGAAAACAUGGGUGCUAAGAGUGGCCACAUGACCUCAAGCAGAUUGGAGAUGAAGAGAAAGCCUGACUGCAGAGAAAAAAAGUGAAAAAAAGCAGGCAAAAACAUGCAGAGGUAAGGGACAGAGGCCUGAUGGCUUUCUGGUUCCUGGUUCCUGGGGCCUAGCUGCAUACUUGUGCUGGACUUCUUUAGGGUACCCUCGUAUGUUUCUGUGAAUUUCCUCCUUAUUUGCUCAAGGUGGCUCAAGUUGGUUUCUAUUACUUGUAACUAAAGAGCCUUAUCUAAAACAGUAGUCAUUUCUGGGAAUGGAGAACUCAGAAGCCCUAUUCAGACUCAGCAGAGGAAUGUAGUGAUGAAUUGAUGAUGUCUGCCACGGGCACCAGUUGGGAAGUUGAGGCAUCCAUGCUAAAUAUUUGCCAUUCCUGAUUAGUCAGUCUCUGGAUUGAUCUUCAGUUCUCAAAUUCCUUUUGUUUCUCUGGUGAUUCUUAAGGUUUUCUUUUUCUGAUAAUGCUUGAUGAAUAACUUGUUUUUGUUUCAUUCCCUAACAUUUACUAUUUACUGUUUUCAUUGGUGAAAUAAAGUAUAAUGACACUUUAAGACCUCAGAGAGGUAAUAAAUUGGAGGUAUUAAGCAUCAAAGUCUUCAAAUUUUACAUAAAAUGUGAGCUCUAAAUUCAACAAGCUUUCAGCAAAAUGUGACUUUUAGUAAUGCCGGCCAAAUUCCCUGAAGCUGGUAUCCUACAGAUGUUGUUUAAAAAUUACCAUCAGGCUAAACUAAAAAUCUAAAUGAUGUCAAAUUUAUCAAGGUAGUCAAAUACAGUUAAUCUAAAGUAACUCCUUCUUAUCUGAAGAAAUUUAACCAAGAUUUGCUUUUUAAUUAUUAUAAUGUGUUUUGUUUGAUCCAGUGAGCUGUAGCUUUUUCCCAUGUGACAGUUUUGAUUGAAUAUAUGAAAACCAAGGCAGGAAAUUAAGUGAAAAAAAAAAAAAAAAAGACUAUUAGGUGUGGGACCAGAGGCAACAGCUGUAAGAAUGCAGAGAUAGGGCUACGUAACUAGCCAGGGCAAGCCCAAGACCGCACCCAUGGUCUAGAGAUACUGGUUGAAAAUGUGUUGUCAAAAUGCACACAGAUAUGAGAGGUCAGAAAGCAAGACAAUAGAUCAAAAUCAUUUAGGGUCUGCACAAGAAAGACCUUGCUUGCUUGCUUAAGACCAGGUUGGUAUGAAUGGAAGAAUUAGAAAUAUAGCAAUUCUUUCUCUUACAUGGCAAGGCUUUUACCAAGAAGCCUCCAAUUAAACAUCAUUCCUCUAUAACCAUUGUAGUGGACAGACCCUAGUAUGGCCCCAUUUUUAUGUCCUGUAUCAUGUCCUCCCUUUGAGUGUGGGUAGGACUAGGAACUCACCCUAGAACAUGGCAAGGGUGUCACUUUCAUGAUUAUGUUGUUAUAUAUCACUCAUGAUUAUGUUAUUAUAUACAUAUAUAGCUCUAUCUUGCUAGCAUAGACUAGAGAGACUUCAUUAUGCCUUGAAGGAGUAAGCUGCCUUGUCACAAGAGGGCCUAUGGAGGGUCCCACCUGGCAAGAAACUUUGGGUGGCCCAUAUUUGCUGACAGUCAGCAAGAAAACAGGCCCUAGUCCUACAAUUACAAGGAGAUCAAUUCUGCCAACAGCCUGAAGGAGCUUGGAAUCAGAUCCUUCCCUAGUCAAGCCUCUGAUGAGACCACAGCCUCUGUCAAUACCUAGAUGGCAGCCUUAUGAGACUCUGAGCUUAGCUGUGCUUGGACUUCUGACCUACAGAGACUGUGAGAAAAAAAUGUAUGUUAUUUUGAGCUUCUAAGUUUUGGGUGAUUUGUUAUCCAGUGAUAAAAAAAAAAAAAAGUAAUACACUUAUUUUGACCACGGCCUAUCACUGUAGUUUUCAAGGCUUUCUUUUAGCUGUGGAGACCUCUGGUUAAGCAAAAUCAUCCUUGGAAACCCAAUACAUAGGAGAAAAUAAAAGUAGAACUGCUUCAUUUUUAGCCAGGUAGAGGGCAUGGAGCCCUUACCAGCUGGUCUCUCCUGGAUUUAUAGUGACCCAAAAGGAAACUCUGUAAGAACAGUCUGAAAACCAGAAGGUGAAUUGAAGAGAGCACAUAAGGUUGCUGAUCCAGCUACACUCUUCAGGCUGCAGGGAAGAGAUGUACGCAGGUGACCUUCCAAGAUGGAGUACAGUGGAGGCUGUUGAUGCACUACCCAGAAUCCUUAAAUUUCUUUACUAUGUCUGCUCACUCCUCCCCUGGCUUCAGCGUGCUUUUGCCUUCAAUCGUCUGUACAUGUAACUCUUUUUCUUAGAACUCUCUUUGGGCUGCUAGAGCUGCUUUGCCUAGGAUCACAAGUAGGAGGUACCCAGGAGUUUAGGUCUCCUGCUGAGUCCUUUGACAAAGGACUGAUUGGUGGGGGGCUUUGAAAACCAGCCUCCCUCACCUGGAGUUGAGACAACCUCUGAAGUAUAACUUAUACUCCAGAAUUUGCCAUCUGGGUGAAGCUUAAGCUGCCCUCUGCAGACUGCUGAAAUCAUUCCCGGUUUUCCCCGUUUCCCUAUCCUGUCCUCCACUUCCUACCAGCUUUUCGGCAAUAAUUGCUUUGCACAUUAAUCCUCAUAUCAAUGUCUGUUUCUGGGGAACCCCACUUGAGACAUGGGAGUUUCCUGAGAGGAUAUAUGAGCAACUGUUUUAUCUUAACAUCUCUGGGGCUCAGUAUCUCUAAGUCCCUUUUUGGUCACAUUUCAGUCUGGACUCCAGUACCCUGCCUGGUCCUUGCCUUUAAUUCUUAUUACACAUGUAAUUAGUACAUAUUCUUAUUAUGUACAUAAUUAAACAUUUUUCGAAGCCAUAGUUUAAAUACUAAUAACAUUUUAUUUAACAAAGUAAAUAAAAUAUUAUUUUAACAUGUAACCAAUAUUAAAAAUAUUAAUGGGGGGUGCCUGGGUGGCUCAGUCGGUCAGGCAUCCUACUCUUGAUUUUGGCUCAGGUCAUGACCUCAGGGUUCGUGAGAUCAAGCCCUACAUUGGGCUCUGAGCUAACAGCUCAGAGCCUGCUUGGGAUUCUCUCUCUCUGUCCGCCCCCCCCC